rnacentral:rRNA from 1 species
GAUGAACGCUGGCGGUAUGCUUAACACAUGCAAGUCGAACGGUCACUUCGGUGAUAGUGGCGGACGGGUGAGUAACGCGUGAGAAUCUGUCUUCAGGUCGGGGACAGCAGUUAGAAAUGACUGCUAAUACCGGAUGUGCCUUUGGGUGAAAGAUUUAUUGCCUGAAAAAGAGCUCGCGUCAGAUUAGCUAGUAGGUGGUGUAAGAGACUACCUAGGCUCCGAUCUGUAGCUGGUCUGAGAGGACGAUCAGCCACACUGGAACUGAGACACGGUCCAGACUCCUACGGGAGGCAGCAGUGGGGAAUUUUCCGCAAUGGGCGAAAGCCUGACGGAGCAAUACCGCGUGAGGGACGAAGGCUUUUGGGUCGUAAACCUCUUUUCUCAAGGAAGAUGAUGACGGUACUUGAGGAAUAAGCAUCGGCUAACUCUGUG